UACGAGUGCCUCAAGCGUUAUCCGGAAUCAUUGGGCGUAAAGGGCGCGUAGGCGGUGUGUCAAGUCAGGCGUGAAAGCCCCGGGCUCAACCUGGGAACAGCGCUUGAGACUGGCACGCUCGAGUUCGGGAGAGGAUGGUGGAAUUCCCAGUGUAGAGGUGAAAUUCGUAGAUAUUGGGAAGAACACCGAUGGCGAAGGCAGCCAUCUGGACCGACACUGACGCUGAGGCGCGAAAGCGUGGGGAGCAAACAGG
rnacentral:rRNA from 1 species